rnacentral:sRNA from 1 species
UGUAUCGUUAACAGGGGCUCGGUCGCGA